UACGAAGGGGGCUAGCGUUGCUCGGAAUCACUGGGCGUAAAGCGCACGUAGGCGGAUUUCUAAGUCAGGGGUGAAAUCCUGGAGCUCAACUCCAGAACUGCCUUUGAUACUGGGAAUCUCGAGUCCGGGAGAGGUGAGUGGAACUGCGAGUGUAGAGGUGAAAUUCGUAGAUAUUCGCAAGAACACCGGUGGCGAAGGCGGGUCUCUGGGCCGAUACUGACGCUGAGGAGCGAAAGCGUGGGGAGCGAACAGG
rnacentral:rRNA from 1 species